rnacentral:rRNA from 1 species
UACGGAGGGUGCAAGCGUUGUUCGGAAUUAUUGGGCGUAAAGGGCGCGUAGGUGGUUGUGAUAGUCAGAUGUGAAAUCCUUUGGCUUAACUGAAGAACUGCAUCUGAAACUUCACAACUCGAGUACAGGAGAGGGAAACGGAAUUCCCGGUGUAGAGGUGAAAUUCGUAGAUAUCGGGAGGAACACCAGUGGCGAAGGCGGUUUCCUGGCCUGAUACUGACACUGAGGCGCGAAAGCGUGGGGAGCAAACAGGAUUAGAUACCCCUGUAGUCCCU